GUUUUUGUUUGAGCAAUGGAGGGACGCAGGAGGCUAAGGAAUGCAGACGAUCGGAAAUGUCUGUCCAAGCAGUAAGUCUGAAGAGGAGUCAAAUGCUUCUUUUCUUAAGGACAAGCUGUGAUGGGGAGGGAAAUAAUAGUACCGAAGUUCCUGAUGUCACACUGCCGAGAAAAGCUUCUAGUGAGAAAACAGCGGCCCGUACCGCAAACCGACACAGGUAGUCGAGGAGAGAAUCCUAAGGUGAGCGAGAGAACUCUCGUUAAGGAACUCGGCAAAAUGACCCCGUAACUUCGGGAGAAGGGGUGCUGAUCAUACGAUCAGCCGCAGUGAAUAGGCCCAAGCAACUGUUUAUCAAAAACACAGGUCUCGGCAAAAUCGUAAGAUGAAGUAUAGGGGCUGACGCCUGCCCGGUGCUGGAAGGUUAAGAGGAGUGCUUAGCGCAAGCGAAGGUACGAAUUGAAGCCCCAGUA
rnacentral:rRNA from 1 species